AGAGUUUGAUCCUGGCUCAGGAUGAACGCUAGCGGGAGGCCUAAUACAUGCAAGUCGAACGGUAACAGGUGUAGCAAUACAUGCUGACGAGUGGCGCACGGGUGAGUAACGCGUACACAACCUGCCUUAUACUGGAGCAUAGCCUCGGGAAACUGAGAUUAAUUCUCCAUAACAUUUUGAAGUGGCAUCACUUUAUAAUU
rnacentral:rRNA from 1 species